UUUGGCCCCCAAUCAAGCAAGGCUACCCGCUGAACUUAAGCAUAUCAAUAAGCGGAGGAAAAGAAACCAACAGGGAUUGCCCUAGUAACGGCGAGUGAACAGGCAAAAGCUCAGAUUUGAAAGCCUCUCGGGGCAUUGUAUUCUGAAGCCUUGAUUCUGAGAACCGGUACCUAAGUCUUCUGGAAAGGAGCGCCAAGGAGGGUGAUAGCCCCGUACGGUACUGACCUCAUUGUAGAAUCUUGGCGUGGAGUCGAGUUGUUUGGGAAUGCAGCUCAAAUGGGUGGUAUGCUCCAUCUAAAGCUAAAUAUCUGCGAGAGACCGAUAGCGAACAAGUACUGUGAAGGAAAGAUGAAAAGAACUUUGAAAAGAGAGUGAAAAAGUACGUGAAAUUGUUGAAAUGGAAGGAUAGGCCGCUAACCACGUAGAGCCGUGUUUGAGGGGAGGAUAAAAGCUGUAGAAUGUGGCUCCUCGGAGUGUUAUAGCUGCAGUUCAUACUCCCACUCGGGCGCGAGGACCUAAGGCUCUGCUAAAUGGUGGUCUAUCAC
rnacentral:rRNA from 1 species